rnacentral:rRNA from 1 species
UACGUAGGCAGCGAGCGUUGUUCGGAGUUACUGGGCGUAAAGAGUGCGUAGGCGGUUUUCUAAGUUUGGUGUGAAAUCUCCCGGCUUAACUGGGAGGGUGCGCCGAAAACUGGAAGGCUUGAGUAUGGGAGAGGUAAGCGGAAUUCCUGGUGUAGCGGUGAAAUGCGUAGAUAUCAGGAGGAACACCUGCGGUGUAGACGGCUUACUGGACCAUGACUGACGCUGAGGCACGAAAGCGUGGGGAGCAAACAGGAUUAGAAACCCCAGUAGUCC